GCAACGAUUUUCUUCCGUUUCAGCUAGUUGUGUAUACAGUAGUAAAAAAACUACUACCAUUUUCUUUUAAGAUAAUUGCCACUAGGUGAGUUUUUUAUUUUGCGCGUCGGUAGCAUCACGGACUUGGGCCCAAAGCAGCGAUGUCGUGGGUUUGGAACUUGGCAAUACUUUUAUCAGUACCGGCUCACCCCUCACUUUGUUGGAUACUUUAACCGAGAGGCUUUUGUGGUCCAUGACAGAAAUAUUCAAGCGUAUGAUGGACGCCAAAGUGUUAAGAAGCUUCUCCAACUUAAGCUUGUUAAGAGCUAAUUACGAGGAAAGGAGUAUCAAGGGACCAAACAAGAAGUGAGCGAUCUCAUCAAUUAUGGAGAUUCGGUUAGGUGAAAACCUUCAUACACUUUGUUUGAAGCCUAGAAAGCUUGAAUCCUAACUAUUGUGGACCCCAUUUGUGUACAUGUAAACAAAAUAACAAAUGAUCAAGUUUU